CAAUAUUUGUAAACAAAAGCGAUAGAGAAAAUUGCCCUUCACUAGCCGCCUCCAUAUCAAAAACUUUAGUGUCCUACAUAACUAGUACACCUCCUGAGGCCCCGAUAACUCUAGAAACUGAUACUCGACAUGUUGUCCCCAAUAGGCUAGUCACAAUGGCUCUCGAAAUGAUCUCCAAAUUUAUUUUUUGUAAGCAAAAACAAUGUCAGUCCUCCAUCCUCUUAUCAAAUUUCAAAUGCCCAAACUUUCCCUGCUUCAUUAAGCCCCCUUACUUUCCAACUAAUGAUUUUUGAGAUCUUCUUAACAGUCUAUCAUCCCUCCCUAUCAAUCCUCUCCCUGAAUAAUUGCAAGAGCAUAUUUUCAUACCCAUCGCAUGAC
rnacentral:lncRNA from 1 species